AGAGUUUGAUUCUGGCUCAGGAUGAACGCUAGCUACAGGCUUAACACAUGCAAGUCGAGGGCAGCAUGAAACUUAGCUUGCUAAGUUUUGAUGGCGACCGGCGCACGGGUGAGUAACACGUAUCCAACCUACCGUUUACUACGGGAUAGCCUUUCUGAAAAGGAGAUUAAUACCGUAUGGUAUUCUAAAGUUUCAUGACAUUUAGAAUUAAAGGUUUACCGGUAAUCGAUGGGGAUGCGUUCCAUUAGAUAGUAGGCGGGGUAACGGCCCACCUAGUCAGCGAUGGAUAGGGGUUCUGAGAGGAAGGUCCCCCACAUUGGAACUGAGACACGGUCCAAACUCCUACGGGAGGCAGCAGUGAGGAAUAUUGGUCAAUGGGCGAGAGCCUGAACCAGCCAAGUAGCGUGAAGGAUGACUGCCCUAUGGGUUGUAAACUUCUUUUAUAAAGGAAUAAAGUGGUCCACGUGUGGAUUUUUGUAUGUACUUUAUGAAUAAGGAUCGGCUAACUCCGUGCCAGCAGCAGC
rnacentral:rRNA from 1 species